UAAACUAGGAUAGAUACCCUAUUAUUUUUAUUAAAUUUGAAUUUUAUUUAAAUAUUAAAUGUUAAGCAUUAAAAAUAAAAAAUUUGGCGGUAUUUAAUAUUUAGAGGAACUUGUUUAUUAAAUUGAUAAUCCACGAAUGGAAGAACUUAAUUUUAAGGGGUUUUAUGUAUUGUUGUUGUAAAAUUAUAUUAAUAGAUAAUUAUUAAAAAAUUUAAUAUAAAAUUAUAAUUCAAAUCAAAAUGUAGAAUAAUUAAGAGAUUAAUGAGUUACAAUUAAUUAAAUAAUUGGAUUUUAAAUUAAUUUAAAUUUAUAAAUGAAAAUGGAUUUAAAAGUAAAUUUAUAAAAAUUAUAAGUGAAUAAAAAUUUUUU
rnacentral:rRNA from 1 species